NGCAGUAGGGAAUCUUCCACAAUGGGCGAAAGCCUGAUGGAGCAACGCCGCGUGUGUGAUGAAGGGUUUCGGCUCGUAAAACACUGUUGUAAGAGAAGAAUGACAUUGAGAGUAACUGUUCAAUGUGUGACGGUAUCUUACCAGAAAGGAACGGCUAAAUACGUGCCAG
rnacentral:rRNA from 1 species